UGUCUCAAAGAUUAAGCCAUGCAUGUCUGAGUACAGACCGAUCUAAGGUGAAACCGCGAAUGGCUCAUUAAAUCAGUCAUAAUUCCUUGGAUAGUGAAAAUCUUCCUCGGAUAACUGUGGAAAAUCCAGAGCUAAUACGUGCAACUGAGCUCCGACCGACUCCAUGCGAGUCUUGGGAAGAGCGCAUUUAUUAGAUUCAAAACUGAUCGGGGUACUCCUCCGGGAUACUCCGUUUUUCAAAAGUUUGAUGACUCCGGAUAACUUAGCCGAGCGCUACGGUCCUAGUACCGGCGCCGUAUCUUUCAAGUGUCUGCCUUAUCAGCUUUCGAUUGUAGGUUAAACGCCUACAAUGGCUGUAACGGGUAACGGGGAAUCAGGGUUCGAUUCCGGAGAGGGAGCCUGAGAAACGGCUACCACAUCUAAGGAAGGCAGCAGGCACGCAAAUUACCCACUCCCAGCCCGGGGAGGUAGUGACGAAAAAUAACGAUGCGAGACUCUUCCGAGGCCUCGCAAUCGGAAUGAGUCCAUUUUAAAUCCUUGGACGAGGAUCCAUUGGAGGGCAAGUCUGGUGCCAGCAGCCGCGGUAAUUCCAGCUCCAAUAGCGUAUAUUAAAGUUGCUGCGGUUAAAAGCUCGUAGUUGGACUUCCUAGAUCCAUUUCGCGAGCGGGUCGCUCGUAGAACUAACGUUUCGCGCCAGUUACUCGACCACGGUCGGGGUGUAGGCGGCGUUAGGUGCUUUCGACGUUACAAAACCGCCGCUYGUCGUUUCGUUUCGUGUCUUACCUCGGUGAGAUUUCGUUUGCGUUCGCUCGMGGUUAGGUUCGUUUCGCCCGUUAGUAUCCUACGUCGUUCCUCCCCCCGCGCCUAAUCUUGCGGACGGCGAGAAGUUGUCUUCGAGUAUUGCCCGUUCGAGUUUGGUACAAAUAAAAUUUUGUCGGCUCGCUCGGAGUGCUCUUCACCGAGUGUUCCAGGGUGGCCGAUACGUUCACUUUGAAAAAAUUAGAGUGCUUAAAGCGGGGCUUAUACAUUGGCCCGAAUGUCUGUGCAUGGAAUGAAGUAACAGGACCUCGAUUCUGUUUUUUUUGUCGGUUUUAUUGAACCGAGGUAAUGAUUAAAAGGGACAGACGGUGGCAUUAGUAUUGCGGCGCUAGAGGUGAAAUUCUUGGACCGCUGCAAGACUAACUACUGCGAAAGCGUUUGCCGAGAAUGUUUUCAUUAAUCAAGAACGAAAGUUAGAGGAUCGAAGGCGAUCAGAUACCGCCCUAGUUCUAACCCUAAACUAUGCUAACUAGCGAUCCGCCGGAGUCAUUCCCACGACCCGGCGGGAAGCCCCAGGGAAACCAAAGUCUUUGAGUUCCGGGGGAAGUAUGGUUGCAAAGCUGAAACUUAAAGGAAUUGACGGAAGGGCACCACCAGGAGUGGAGCCUGCGGCUUAAUUUGACUCAACACGGGAAACCUCACCAGGCCCGGACAUCAUAAGGAUUGACAGGUUGAGGGCUCUUUCUCGAUUUGAUGGGUGGUGGUGCAUGCCGUUCUUAGUUGGUGGAGUGAUCUGUCUGGUUGAUUCCGAUAACGAACGAGACUCUACCCUACUAACUAGUCGGCGGAUCGUAACCCUGAGACGGUUAGUCGGUAUAGGGCGGUUUCGCGGAGAUGCGGUCGUCGUAAAGCGGCGUAUUUCGUUCGUAUUCGGUUGUCAUUCGUGGGGUUUUACCUUUUCGGGUGCGGCUGUUUCGUUCGGGUGCGUCCCCUACUUCGAUUUAGCGUCGAUGUUUCCGUCUGAUUACCGCUACCGCUGGGGGCGUCCGUCGCAAUGUAUCUUCUUAGAGGGAUCAGCGGCGUAUAGCCGCACGAGAAAGAGCAAUAACAGGUCUGUGAUGCCCUUAGAUGUUCUGGGCCGCACGCGCGCUACAAUGUAGAGACCAGCGUGCUUUCCCCCUCCGAAAGGAGCGGGUAACCCGUUGAAACCCCUACCCGAUUGGGAUUGGGGAUUGCAAAUAUUUCCCAUAAACGAGGAAUUCCCAGUAAGCGCGAAUCAUUAAUUCGCGCUGAUUACGUCCCUGCCCUUUGUACACACCGCCCGUCGCUACUACCGAUUGAAUGAUUCAGUGAGGGCAUCGGACUGGCGCCUUCGGUUUAGUAACAUAGACCUUAGGCUGACGGAAAGAUGUCCGAACUUGAUCAUUUAGAGGAAGUAA
rnacentral:rRNA from 1 species